rnacentral:lncRNA from 1 species
GGAGGAUUGAAGAAGCUAGCUAGCAAAUAUAAUCUUGGAUUUACAGUCGCCGCCAUUGGAGCGGACACACAUCACAUAUAGUACUAUGCAUAUCAUGCUUAAUUGUUUCAACUUUACUUUCUUCUACCCAUGCAUCCUCGUUUAGUGUGGCUGCAUCAUUGUAUGGAUCAUGGAUGGGCACCAUAUAUUUGCAAGUUGAUGCAAUUUGCAUUUACAUUCACACACACACAUAUCGAGCUGGCUACCUGCACAUCCCAUCGAUCUUCCUUCCCUUCUUACUUUCUCUGCUGCCAAUUCCAUCGGUACGUACAUACUUUGUGCUACUCAGGUUUAAUUGUGAUUACCUUACCUGCAAAACAAAACUUUAGGAAACAAAUUAUACUGUGCAGGUGUAGUGCCUUAAUCAUGUUGGCUAUUCAAAACCAAACCGCGAUUUCAGUAGUAAAUGUUCAGCUGGCCCAUCUGCAUCCAACAAAUUGGUUACCGAAUUGAUAUAUUGUUUUUGUGCCAAAAGAAUAUGAGUAAAAUUUCUAUUUAAUUAUAUGAUUUCAUUUCGAACCCACGGUUACAAAAUUAAGUGUUAAAACCGGUUUCGUUGUUACCAAGUAUAUGUGAAUAUGGCAGUAUAGUCGUGGCGGAUGCUUAAAUUUACGCACUAUCUUUUCGCUUUUAUUUAUGCUUAUAAGCUAAAAUUUAAAUUUGAAUUUUUAACCUUAAAUUUAAAUUUAAAGUUAAUUUUAGUUUUUUAACCAAAAAUUACUUUUCAUCGUGGGCUUUUAGAUCACUCAAGAUGCAUAUAUACUUUUUUAUUCAUAAAUUAUUUUUCCUUUAUAAAUAUACUAUAAAAAACAAUGUCCACGAAUUUGAGAGUGGUGAUAGAUCGAACAUUCACCGAUUCAUGCGUGUGUGCGAGUACAUAUCUUCCGUGAAAUCGAGAAAAAACGCACAUGCUGCAAGCUGCCACGGAAAUCCCUACUGGCUAGCUUCAGGUCAACGCAACAUGCAAGCUAGGUUACAUCAUUGUAUUUGUCAGCCUUAAAAUUGUUUUGUUCCUUCUUUUUUCCUUUUUUAUGUUUUGAAGACUACUCCUUAUAUGUUACAUUACAUAUAUAUUAUGCAUGCAGUUGCUUUUGAUUUUGCUCCAUAUGUAUGUAUAACUAGAGCGUUAAUCACUCAUCCUUGUUGGUUUGCAUCCUGUACAUGAAGCAAGAUUCCAUCUUGCCCCCCAAUUAUCACAAAACUCCAUCCAGAUCAAUCAACUUAACUACUCUACUCCAUCCAGGAAGGCCAUUCACUUUGGGAUCCCCAAAAAAAAAACAACAAAUACCCCCCAAAAAAAAGAGAGCAAGGCAUUAAUAAUUGUAAGAACAAUUAAUGGCAAUUCCUGGCUCGAUCUGCACCUGACCUGACGUAUCUGUGAUGUACUAUGGUAUUACUGUUCCAUUGCCACUUGCGGCGAGCUCAACCUCGCCGCCGGCGCCGGCACCAGUGACAGCGUGCAUGGCGAACAGCGCACGGCAGCUCAUCUCCUUCUCGAACCGCCAGAUGUAGUUGAGCCCCACCAGGAGCUCCGCCACCGCCGCCUCCACCCUGCCGCGG